rnacentral:rRNA from 1 species
UACGUAGGGAGCAAGCGUUGUCCGGAAUCAUUGGGCGUAAAGCGCGCGUAGGUGGCCUCAUAAGUCCGCUGUGAAAGUCAAAGGCUCAACCUUUGAAAGCCGGUGGAUACUGUGAGGCUAGAGUACGGAAGAGGCGAGUGGAAUUCCUGGUGUAGCGGUGGAAUGCGCAGAUAUCAGGAGGAACACCAAUAGCGAAGGCGGCUCACUGGCUCAUUUCUGACGCUCAGGCGCGACAGCGUGGGGAUCAAACAGG